rnacentral:lncRNA from 1 species
GCCUGAAGAAAGGAAAGGCGUUUUAUUUUUAAAAGUUGUUAAAAUCUCGCCAGCCAAAGAAAGGAAUGGCAUUUUUGAAAAGUUUUUGAAGUCAGGAGCCCCCCUGAAGAACAGAAUGGCGAUUUAUUAGUUGAAGUCAGAAGCCCCCCUGAAGAACAGAAUGACGAUUUAUUAGUUGAAGUCAGGAGCCCGCCUGAAGAGAGGAAAGGCAUUUUAUUUUUAAAAGUUGUUGAAAUCUCGCCAACCUAAAGAAAGGAAUGACAUUUUAUUUUUAAAAGUUAUUUUUGAAAUCAGGAGCCCGCCUGAAGAGAGGAAAGACGUUUUAUUUUUAAAAGUUGUUGAAAUCUCGCCAACCUAAAGAAAGGAAUGACAUUUUAUUUUUAAAGUUAUUGUUGAAGUCAGGAGCCCGCCUGAAGAGAGGAAUGUCGUUUAUUUUAAAAGUUGUUUGUUUGAAGUCAGGAGCCCGCCUGAAGAGAGGAAUGACGUUUAUUUUUAAAAGUUGUUUUUGAAAUCAGGAGCCCGCCUGAAGAGAGGAAUGACAUUUUAUUUUUCAAAGUUGUUUGUU